rnacentral:misc_RNA from 1 species
CAGGCUUCUUAAUCAAGAAAUCAGACGAGCAUCAGGUUUCAGUCAAGGUUUUGUAGAUCAUGAAAGAUACGAACAUGAGAGUCCUUAUCGGUCAUUGGGUCAGCAGCGAAAUGGAAGAUCAAUGGAUUUUGAAGCAUGGUCUGGGAUGCAAACAGAGGAAAACGGGCAUCUUCAAAGAAUGGCCUCAUUUCAUGCUGCUUCAAUGGGCUGGCCUGGGGUCCC